rnacentral:sRNA from 1 species
GCUGCCGCAAAUUCGGCAGCCGGGAUUGGCGUCCCGUGGAUUAGGCGGACACACCGCCUUAAGAGCGGUUUUUUU